AAGGGGGAAAGAAUAGAAAAACUCUAAGGAGGAAAAAUUCAAGAGAAAUUCAUUGGAUUUUCGAAAAACGAAGCGCUCGGAGGUGGUGAGCCCUCUAGUAAGGGUAAGGAUAUCGUACCCGAGGAC
rnacentral:sRNA from 1 species